rnacentral:rRNA from 1 species
CCUACGGGUGGCAGCAGUAGGGAAUCUUCCACAAUGGGCGAAAGCCUGAUGGAGCAACGCCGCGUGGGUGCAGAAGGUCUUCGGAUCGUAAAACCCUGUUGUUAGAGAAGAAAGUGCGUGAGAGUAACUGUUCACGUUUCGACGGUAUCUAACCAGAAAGCCACGGAUAACUACGUGCCAGCAGCCGCGGUAAUACGUAGGUGGCAAGCGUUAUCCGGAUUUAUUGGGCGUAAAUGGAACGCAGGCGGUACUUUAAGUCUGAUGUGAAAGCCUUCGGCUUAACCGGAGUAAUGCAUUGGAAACGGGUAGACGUGAGUGCAGAAGAGGCGAGUGGAACUCCAGGUGUAGCGGUGAAAUGCGUAGAUAUAUGGAAGAACACCAGUGGCGAAAGCGGCUCUCUGGUCUGUAACUGACGCUGAGGUGCGAAAGCGUGGGUAGCAAACAGGAUUAGAUACCCGUGUAGUC